UAUUAUCUUCAGAAAACAAAAUUAACAAAUAGAAUUUAAUAGAUGUAAAACAGUGUUGCUACACACUCAUGAACAGUAGUUGGCGGUAUGCACCUUAAAGUUGCUUGCGAUCCGCCAUGAUAGAAGAGAAGAAGAAGAAGAAGAAGAAGAAGAAGAAGAAGUAAAAAAAAACGUGCUGAGCGCUCCGCUCCUGUGUGUUCAUGUCCUCAGGCGCUAUGAACCGGAGAAAGGGUAAGAUUUAAAGAAUAUGCUUUCAUUCUGCGGUAAAAGGAAAUAGAUACCGAUCAUAACUGUACAUUUUGUUUUCACAGACUAAGCACGCCUCAUAAUGAGGCGGUGACCUAUUUGCUUGGAGCAAUAACUGUGUAAGUCCAGAUUUACACGAUGUUGAUAAAGACGACAUUGUGUCCGCCUGUAAGACGUAUUAUGAGACGGUACGCAGGAGCUGAAGCUGCCAAGAAUUCAGCUCGCAGUCGAGCUAGAAGAAAGAGGCUGCUGGAAUCGAGGCAGAGUGUGCAGGCGGAUGAGGAAGUGGAACUGUGGAAGUCCGCCACCGUCGACCGCAUGUCUGGCGAAGAAGAUGGCGUCGUUGGCGGGGUCUCUGGAUGGAUUGUACGGCCGCCGUCAUUUCGUAGGCUGGAUCUCUCUGAACUCUGUGUGAAGCUGCAUUCC